CAGUCGCCGCGGGAAUACGAAGGGUGCAAGCGUUACUCGGAAUUACUGGGCGUAAAGCGUGCGUAGGUGGUUGUUUAAGUCUGCUGUGAAAGCCCUGGGCUCAACCUGGGAAUUGCAGUGGAUACUGGGCAACUAGAGUAAGGUAGAGGAUAGUGGAAUUUCCGGUGUAGCAGUGAAAUGCGUAGAGAUCGGAAGGAACAUCUGUGGCGAAGGCGACUAUCUGGGCCAACACUGACACUGAGGCACGAAAGCGUGGGGAGCAAACAGGAUUAGAUACCCCCGUAGUCCCUGUCUCUUAUAC
rnacentral:rRNA from 1 species